rnacentral:tRNA from 1 species
GUGGGCUGGCUGGUGGCCGGCGGCCUGAUCGUCUUCGGCGUGAUCGGGCUUCUGGGCGCUCUGCGCUCGGCCCGCACC